rnacentral:rRNA from 1 species
AUACGUAGGGGACGAGCGUUGUCCGGAAUUACUGGGCGUAAAGGGCGCGCAGGCGGAUAUUUAAGUCAGCGGUUAAAUCGUGGGGCUCAACCCCAUUCUGCCGUUGAUACUGGGUGGCUUGAUUGCGGUCGAGGUUGGCGGAAUUCGUUGUGUAGCGGUGAAAUGCAUAGAUAUGACGAAGAACACCGAUUGCGUAGGCAGCUGACCAGACCGCAAAUGACGCUCAUGCACGAAAGUGCGGGGAUCGAACAGGAUUAGAUACCCUGGUAGUCCGCACAGUAAACGAUGAAUACUUGUUUUCGGCGAUAUAAUGUCGGAGGCAAAGCGAAAGCGAUAAGUAUUCCACCUGGGGAGUACGCCGGCAACGGUGAAACUCAAAUGAAUUGGCGGGG